GGAGGCUACAGAAAAAGGCUUUGUCUCUAACCUUAGGUCAGACAGUAGGUCUGUGUUCUCUACGCAUCAAACUCAUGCUCGUCUCCCUCGGCCCUCAUAGGAGGAGCUUUCUUUGGCAUCUUCAAGGCUACUGUCUUUAGCCAGUGUGGUGCUGUGUUACGUAGCAGCUCUAGCCGCAGUCUAUGGGAAGAGUGUUGAUCUGCUAAAGGCCCAGCUUAAACUGGACCUGAGCCCUAGGACCAUGCCCCAGGACUACCUGACAUGAUG